rnacentral:rRNA from 1 species
CUUCUUGGAGUCAUGGGAAGUUGUGCCUGCCCACUGAAGAGAGAUUGAAGGGCCGCGGUAUUUUGACCGUGCAAAGGUAGCAUAAUCAUUAGUCUUUUAAUUGAGGACUGGGAUGAAGGGUUUGACGAAAUAGCUACUGUCUUAAAAAUAGUGUUUUGAAGUUUACUUUUGGGUCAAAAGGCUUAAAUGUUGAAUGGGGACGAGAAGACCCUAUAGAUCUUUAUUUUGCAUAGGCUGAUGUUCUUUUGGGUGUUGUUAUUAUUAGUUAGUGGAGAAUUUAGUUGGGGUGAUGUGAGAAUAGAUUAGCUUCUCAGUUGUGAUACUUUGAUGUUUGGGUGAAGGAUCCUGUAGUAUGGAUUUAAGAUUAAGAUACCUUAGGGAUAACAGCGUGAUUUCAUUUGAGAGUUCUUAUCGACAAUGAAGAUUGCGACCUCGAUGUUGGAUUAGGAUAAUAGCUUGGUGCAGAAGUUAAGUUGUUUAGUCUGUUC